rnacentral:rRNA from 1 species
GACGAACGCUGGCGGCGUGCUUAACACAUGCAAGUCGAACGGAAAGGCUCCUGCUUGCAGGGGUACUCGAGUGGCGAACGGGUGAGUAACACGUGGGUGAUCUGCCCUGCACUUCGGGAUAAGCCUGGGAAACUGGGUCUAAUACCGGAUAGGACGAUGGUUUGGAUGCCAUUGUGGAAUGUUUUUCGGUGUGGGAUGAGCUCGCGGCCUAUCAGCUUGUUGGUGGGGUAAUGGCCUACCAAGGCGUCGACGGGUAGCCGGCCUGAGAGCGUGUACGGCCACAUUGGGACUGAGAUACGGCGCAGACUCCUACGGGAGGCAGCAGUGGGGAAUAUUGCACAAUGGGCGCAAGCCUGAUGCAGCGACGCCGCGUGGGGGAUGACGGCCUUCGGGUUGUAAACUCCUUUCGUCAGGGACGAAGCGAAAGUGACGGUACCUGGAUAAGAAGCACCGGCUAACUACGUG